rnacentral:rRNA from 1 species
UACGGAGGGUGCGAGCGUUGUUCGGAAUUACUGGGCGUAAAGCGCGUGCAGGCGGCCGACUAAGUCAGGUGUGAAAGCCCGGGGCUCACCUCCGGAAGUGCGCUUGAAACUGGUCGGCUUGAAUCCGGGAGAGGGAUGCAGAAUUCCAGGUGUAGCGGUGAAAUGCGUAAAUAUCUGGAGGAAUACCGGUGGCGAAGGCGGCAUCCUGGACCGGCAUUGACGCUGAGGAGCGAAAGCCAGGGGAGCAAACGGG